rnacentral:rRNA from 1 species
CCGGCUUACCAACCCGAUGCAAACUGCGAAUACCGGAGAAUGUUAUCACGGGAGACACACGGCGGGUGCUAACGUCCGUCGUGAAGAGGGAAACAACCCAGACCGCCAGCUAAGGUCCCAAAGUCAUGGUUAAGUGGGAAACGAUGUGGGAAGGCCCAGACAGCCAGGAUGUUGGCUUAGAAGCAGCCAUCAUUUAAAGAAAGCGUAAUAGCUCACUGGUCGAGUCGGCCUGCGCGGAAGAUGUAACGGGGCUAAACCAUGCACCGAAGCUGCGGCAGCGACACUGUGUGUUGUUGGGUAGGGGAGCGUUCUGUAAGCCUGUGAAGGUGUGUCGUGAGGCAUGCUGGAGGUAUCAGAAGUGCGAAUGCUGACAUAAGUAACGAUAAAGCGGGUGAAAAGCCCGCUCGCCGGAAGACCAAGGGUUCCUGUCCAACGUUAAUCGGGGCAGGGUGAGUCGACCCCUAAGGCGAGGCCGAAAGGCGUAGUCGAUGGGAAACGGGUUAAUAUUCCCGUACUUGGUGUUACUGCGAAGGGGGGACGGAGAAGGCUAUGUUGGCCGGGCGACGGUUGUCCCGGUUUAAGCGUGUAGGUGUGUGUUCCAGGUAAAUCCGGUUCACUUUAACACUGAGGCGUGACGACGAGGCACUACGGUGCUGAAGCAACAAAUGCCCUGCUUCCAGGAAAAGCCUCUAAGCAUCAGGUAACAUCAAAUCGUACCCCAAACCGACACAGGUGGUCAGGUAGAGAAUACCAAGGCGCUUGAGAGAACUCGGGUGAAGGAACUAGGCAAAAUGGUGCCGUAACUUCGGGAGAAGGCACGCUGACACGUAGGUGAAGUGAUUUACUCAUGGAGCUGAAGUCAGUCGAAGAUACCAGCUGGCUGCAACUGUUUAUUAAAAACACAGCACUGUGCAAACACGAAAGUGGACGUAUACGGUGUGACGCCUGCCCGGUGCCGGAAGGUUAAUUGAUGGGGUCAGCGCAAGCGAAGCUCCUGAUCGAAGCCCCGGUAAACGGCGGCCGUAACUAUAACGGUCCUAAGGUAGCGAAAUUCCUUGUCGGGUAAGUUCCGACCUGCACGAAUGGCGUAAUGAUGGCCAGGCUGUCUCCACCCGAGACUCAGUGAAAUUGAACUCGCUGUGAAGAUGCAGUGUACCCGCGGCAAGACGGAAAGACCCCGUGAACCUUUACUAUAGCUUGACACUGAACAUUGAGCCUUGAUGUGUAGGAUAGGUGGGAGGCUUUGAAGUGUGGACGCCAGUCUGCAUGGAGCCGACCUUGAAAUACCACCCUUUAAUGUUUGAUGUUCUAACGUGGACCCGUUACCCGGGUUGCGGACAGUGUCUGGUGGGUAGUUUGACUGGGGCGGUCUCCUCCUAAAGAGUAACGGAGGAGCACGAAGGUUGGCUAAUCCUGGUCGGACAUCAGGAGGUUAGUGCAAUGGCAUAAGCCAGCUUGACUGCGAGCGUGACGGCGCGAGCAGGUGCGAAAGCAGGUCAUAGUGAUCCGGUGGUUCUGAAUGGAAGGGCCAUCGCUCAACGGAUAAAAGGUACUCCGGGGAUAACAGGCUGAUACCGCCCAAGAGUUCAUAUCGACGGCGGUGUUUGGCACCUCGAUGUCGGCUCAUCACAUCCUGGGGCUGAAGUAGGUCCCAAGGGUAUGGCUGUUCGCCAUUUAAAGUGGUACGCGAGCUGGGUUUAGAACGUCGUGAGACAGUUCGGUCCCUAUCUGCCGUGGGCGCUGGAGAACUGAGGGGGGCUGCUCCUAGUACGAGAGGACCGGAGUGGACGCAUCACUGGUGUUCGGGUUGUCAUGCCAAUGGCACUGCCCGGUAGCUAAAUGCGGAAGAGAUAAGUGCUGAAAGCAUCUAAGCACGAAACUUGCCCCGAGAUGAGUUCUCCCUGAGACUUAAAGUCUCCUGAAGGAACGUUGAAGACGACGACGUUGAUAGGCCGGGUGUGUAAGCGCAGCGAUGCGUUGAGCUAACCGGUACUAAUGAACCGUGAGGCUUAACCUUACAACGCCGAAG